GGGGGAAUAUUGCACAAUGGGCGCAAGCCUGAUGCAGCCAUGCCGCGUGUAUGAAGAAGGCCUUCGGGUUGUAAAGUACUUUCAGCGGGGGGGAAGGUGUUGAGGUUAAUAACCUCAGCAAUUGACGUUACCCGCAGAAGAAGCACCGGCUAACUCCGUGCCAGCAGCCGCGGUAAUACGGAGGGGGCAAGCGUUAAUCGGAAUUCCUGGGCGUAAAGCGCACGCAGGCGGUCUGUCAAGUCGGAUGUGAAAUCCCCGGGCUCAACCUGGGAACUGCAUCCGAAACUGGCAGGCUUGAGUCUUGUAGAGGGGGGUAGAAUUCCAGGUGUAGCGGUGAAAUGCGUAGAGAUCUGGAGGAAUACCGGUGGCGAAGGCGGCCCCCUGGACAAAGACUGACGCUCAGGUGCGAAAGCGUGGGGAGCAAACA
rnacentral:rRNA from 1 species